GGCAGGGGUGCCUGGUGAGGGGGGCCAGUGCCAGCAGUGGUCAUAACCACUUCCAGCAGCAGCUGGAAGCAUGAAGGCAGGGAGAACUGCCACCUCAGGGGCUGCUGGGAAGCAGAGUCUGGC